UACUAGUGAAAUUUAAAGUGUUUUCCCGACGACAAUUCACUCAAAUCAAUAUUUUCGGUUUCAUCGGAUCAAGACGGAACAUUGCAUGAACAAGGAGAUGCAAGGAUUUACUUCCAGUGAGGAUUGCCGCUGGUUGACGUAACGAUUUUCGCCAGAAGCGACUGCCGUAAAGCACAGAAUCAGACCGCGGUAUUGCGAUGUGAACGACAUUGUGUUGGGUUAAUCGGAACUAUACAUUGAUCUGCAUCACGGGAACCGCGCGGAAAAGGUUCUAUUGCGUGAGCUUCCACAAGUAAAGAUAGUACUUCCAGUAACGAGUGAGUUGGGUCAUAUCGGAGCCGGCAGCAUGAAGUACGCUUUGAAUGACGAGUCGUAUGAAUUGAAUUGCGUUGGCGCUACCGAGAGGUGCGGAUUCCCUUACCAGUGAUCGUCUCGACUGUUCAAUACAACAGUCAAAAUCCACGGCAAAUGUGUGAAAAUACAAUAUUUUUAUCAUUACCGAUUGCAAAUGUGUGAAAAUACAAUAUUUAUCAUUACCCAUGCAAUCCGCAAACGAGUUCCGCUGCUGGACCCACUUUGCACUGUUCAUUAUCCGAACUGUUUCAGAGGUUGUCGCAUGAAAAUCUUGAAUAAAGGAACUGGAAGCAAAUUAAAUUGGCUGAUCAACAGAAGAAAGCGGUUGCAUUGUAAACGACAGCGGUGGGUCAUCUGGAGGGAAAAUUUGCCGAUCGAUGAUGUAUUGGAAUAUUGUGAUUCCGCGGUGAAUAACGAGAGAAGGCUAAGAGGAAAAUGAGCUCUUGCACUGAGGAAUGGCCAGACCUGGCAGAUUCGGAUCCUGCCAGCAAAAUUCUUUUUUCUGCUCUGAUCUCAUAAAAGUAAGUGAGCUACAAGAUAUCCAGGACGUUUGCAGGGAAUCGAUUAUGCGUAUACCGCUGCAUAGCGGAGUACUUAAGGAUCGGCCGGGAGUGUUACAAUCAUUCACACUACAACGGCCUUCUGGUAAUAUUCACCUGGAUCAACUCAAAUUAGAAAACGUGGGCCACACCUUUGCAUUUUUGCAACUGUCUUCAUGCAGCCCCGGAUCUGAACGGCGUGUUCGAGGAGACUUGCUUUGCCAAUGUUGGCAUCAUCAUCUUCACGCCUGACGGCCUGACAUCCCUCACAGCACGUCACAGAUAAGUGUGGCACUGAUGUAGAAGUUAUCUGAG